rnacentral:rRNA from 1 species
GACGAACGCUGGCGGCGUGCUUAACACAUGCAAGUCGAACGGAAAGGCCCUGCUUUUGUGGGGUGCUCGAGUGGCGAAAGGGUGAGCAACACGUGAGUAACCUGCCCUUGACUUUGGGAUAACUUCAGGAAACUGGGGCUAAUACCGGAUAGGAGCUCCUGCUGCAUGGUGGGGGUUGGAAAGUUUCGGCGGUUGGGGAUGGACUCGCGGCUUAUCAGCUUGUUGGUGGGGUAGUGGCUUACCAAGGCUUUGACGGGGAGCCGGCCUGAGAGGGUGACCGGCCACACUGGGACUGGGAUACGGCCCAGACUCCUACGGGAGGCAGCAGUUGGGAAUAUUGCGCAAUGGGCGGAAGCCUGAUGCAGCAACGCCGCGUGCGGGAUGACUGCCUUCGGGUUGUAAACCGCUUUCGCCUGUGACGAGGCGUGAGUGACGGUAAUGGGUAAAGAAGCACCGGCUAACUACGUG